GACAGAGGGUGCAAACGUUGCUCGGAAUUACUGGGCGUAAAGCGCGUGUAGGUGGCCACGCAAGUCAGGUGUGAAAGCCCAGGGCUCAACCCUGGAAGUGCACAUGAUACUACGUGGCUGGAGUACUGAAGAGGAGAGCGGAAUUCCCGGUGUAGAGGUGAAAUUCGUAGAUAUCGGGAGGAACACCAGUGGCGAAGGCGGCUCUCUGGUCCGGUACUGGACGCUGAGGUGCGAAAGCGUGGGGAGCA
rnacentral:rRNA from 1 species